CAGGAAGGAGUCCUGAGCAGGCGACGGAGACAGACAGCAUGAGGGAGGGGGUGCUCAGGUCUUGUUUCUGGGUCCAGGAGAGUUCCGCUGGAGCAGAACCACGUGAGGAUGCUACUCUUUUCUGCACUCAGUCUAGAAGCCACUAUCACUGCUCUGGGAACCAGCACCCUCAUCGCCAGGACCACAGGGUACCUGGGUCCCCACAGCACCCCAGGGAGCCUGUGCCCACACUGCCAGUACCACAGGGAACCUGGGUCCCCACAGCACCCCAGGGAGCAUGUGCCCACAUUGCCAGCACCACAGGGAACCUGGGUCCCCACUGCACCCUGGGGAGCCUGUGCCCUCAUUACCAGUACCACAAGGAACCUGGAGUCCCAUCACACCCCAGGGAAUCUGUGCCCACACUGCCAGUACCACAGGAAGCCUAGGUCCUGAUUCUCAGAUCCAUAAAGGGAGAUACCUCACUAGAUCUGGGGCUCACCUUCCUGGCCCCUGACUCAGGAUCUGGGUACUGGCUUUUCUGUUUGCUUUGAAAUUAUUGAAGAUUCUCUUAGCUGUUCUAGUGGUGAACUAUGUGUAACAUGAGGUGCUCUUGAGUAAACUCACUUUUUAAUGUC